GGAGACUUCAAAGAUGAGAAAUGAUUGCACCGGGCCUUAGAGAGGAAGUUCAGCAGAACAAGGUGGGAAGGGCACGAUAUCAGAUAAGAGGCACUGAUGGUGAACAAAUAUAGAGACUGGAAUCCAGUGAGGUCACACAGGCGCUCUCUAGAUCACCUGAUACCUCCAAGCAAGCAGGUGUUCUUUUCAGAAGCCAGAAGCUGAUAACCUUGGCUUUCUGAUCUAGCCCCAGCCCAAAUUCAUUGCAAUGGAGGAAUUGGGGAGGAGAUUCUUCCAACUGAGAAGUGGGUGCCAACUCUCCCUUUCAAAUUUGUUCAUCAACAAACUAAAGGGGAUGCCAGAAAUGUCUGGAGCAAUGGAAGAACCAUUGGAAUAUGCUCCUGCCUGAUUGCAUCUACUUAACCCACUCUCCAAGAGCCAGAAUCAGAUUUCAACCGUAUGGAAUCAUCUACAAUGCAGCAGAUGGGUUUACAAGUCUCUUGGUCUCUUCGUGUAAUUAACAGCCAAGAAGUCUAAAGCUUGCAUUGUUUACGUGGAAGAUGUUUCUUGCCCAUUCCCACGCCAUGCCAUCUGAAAUCACUCCUUUUUUAAUUUUUUCUGUGCAGUUUUUUUAACUUUGUGGGAUCCUCUGCAUAUAAAACUCCA
rnacentral:lncRNA from 1 species